GUGCUUACUUCAGCAGCACAUACACUAAAAUUGAAAUGUUUCAGAGAUUAGCAUAGCCUCUGUGCAAGGAUGACACACAAAUGCCUGAAGCAUUGCAGAUUUUU